rnacentral:tRNA from 1 species
GCCCGAAUGGCGGAAUUGGUAGACGCGCUGGAUUCAAAAUCCAGUUCUAGCAAUAGAGUGCCGGUUCGACCCCGGCUUCGGGUA